UGAUCCUGGCUCAGGACGAACGCUGGCGGCGUGCUUAACACAUGCAAGUCGAACGAUGAAGAAAAGAAUUGAAGCUUCGGCAGAAAUUCAUUUCGGAUUAGUGGCAGACGGGUGAGUAACGCGUGAGCAACCUACCUCUUACAAAGGGAUAGCCUCGGGAAACCGGGAUUAAUACCAUAUAACAUUGCGACGAAGCAUUUCGAUGCAAUCAAAGCUACGGCGGUAAGAGAUGGGCUCGCGUCCCAUUAACCAGAUGGUGAGGUAACGGCUCACCAUAGUAACGAUGGGUAACCGGCCUGAGAGGGUGAACGGUCACACUGGAACUGAGACACGGUCCAGACUCCUACGGGAGGCAGCAGUGGGGAAUAUUGCACAAUGGAGGGAACUCUGAUGCAGCGACGCCGCGUGAGUGAUGAAGGAAUUCGUUUCGUAAAACUCUGUUCUAUGGGAAGAAAAGGACUGUACCAUAGGAGAAAGCUCCGGCUAAAUACGUGCCAGCAGCCGCGGUAAUACGUAUGGAGCGAGCGUUGUCCGGAAUUAUUGGGCGUAAAGGGUGCGCAGGCGGCUUUACAAGUUGGAUGUGAAAUAUUGUGGCUCAACCACAAACGUGCAUCCAAAACUGCAAAGCUUGAGUUAAGGAGAGGUAAGUGGAAUUCCUGGUGUAGCGGUGGAAUGCGUAGAUAUCAGGAGGAAUACCGGUGGCGAAGGCGACUUACUGGACUUAAACUGACGCUCAGGCACGAAAGCGUGGGGAGCAAACAGGAUUAGAUACCCUGGUAGUCCACGCCGUAAACGAUG
rnacentral:rRNA from 1 species